GGAGGGGGCGAGCGUUAUUCGGAAUUAUUGGGCGUAAAGGGCGCGUAGGCGGCUGGGUAAGUCAAAGGUGAAAUCCCUCGGCUCAACUGAGGAGCUGCCUUUGAAACUGUCCAGCUCGAGGCCGGGAGGGGGUGGCGGAAUUCCCAGUGUAGCGGUGAAAUGCGUAGAUAUUGGGAGGAACACCAGUGGCGAAGGCGGCCACCUGGACCGGUUCUGACGCUGAUGCGCGAAAGCGUGGGUAGCAAACAGGAUUAGAUACCCUGGUAGUCCACGCUGUAAACGAUGAGUGCUCGGUGUCGCGGGUAUCGACCCCUGCGGUGCCUUAGCUAACGCGUUAAGCACUCCGCCUGGGGAGUACGGUCGCAAGGCUG
rnacentral:rRNA from 1 species